rnacentral:tRNA from 1 species
UAUAUUUUAGUAUAUGAUGUACGUAAAUUUUUGAUAUUUAAAUAAAUAGUUUGAUUCUAUUAAAUAUAA